AACGUAGGUUCCGAGCGUUAUCCGGAUUUACUGGGCGUAAAGCGCGUUCAGGCGGUUUGGCAAGUCGGGCAUGAAAUCUCUCGGCUCAACCGGGAGAGGUUGUCCGAUACUGCUGGGCUUGAGGGCAGUAGAGGGUGGUGGAAUUCCGGGUGUAGUGGUGAAAUGCGUAGAUAUCCGGAGGAACACCAGUGGCGAAAGCGGCCACCUGGACUGCACCUGACGCUGACACGCGAAAGCGUGGGGAGCAAACAGG
rnacentral:rRNA from 1 species